GAGUUGAUCCUGGCUCAGAACGAACGCUGGCGGCAUGCCUAACACAUGCAAGUCGAACGAAGCCUUCGGGCUUAGUGGCGCACGGGUGCGUAACGCGUGGGAAUCUGCCCUUGGGUUCGGAAUAACAGUUAGAAAUGACUGCUAAUACCGGAUGAUGUCUUCGGACCAAAGAUUUAUCGCCCAAGGAUGAGCCCGCGUAGGAUUAGCUAGUUGGUGAGGUAAAGGCUCACCAAGGCGACGAUCCUUAGCUGGUCUGAGAGGAUGAUCAGCCACACUGGGACUGAGACACGGCCCAGACUCCUACGGGAGGCAGCAGUGGGGAAUAUUGGACAAUGGGCGAAAGCCUGAUCCAGCAAUGCCGCGUGAGUGAUGAAGGCCUUAGGGUUGUAAAGCUCUUUUACCCGGGAUGAUAAUGACAGUACCGGGAGAAUAAGCCCCGGCUAACUCCGUGCCAGCCGCCGCCGU
rnacentral:rRNA from 1 species